rnacentral:rRNA from 1 species
UACGGAAGGCAGCAGUGGGGAAUAUUGGACAAUGGGCGCAAGCCUGAUCCAGCCAUGCCGCGUGUGUGAAGAAGGCCUUUUUGGUUGUAAAGCACUUUAAGCGAGGAGGAGGCUCUCUUAGUUAAUACCUAAGAUGAGUGGACGUUACUCGCAGAAUAAGCACCGGCUAACUCUGUGCCAGCAGCCGCGGUAAUACAGAGGGUGCGAGCGUUAAUCGGAUUUUACUGGGCGUAAAGCGUGCGUAGGCGGCUUUUUUAAGUCGGAUGUGAAAUCCCCGAGCUUAACUUGGGAAUUGCAUUCGAUACUGGGAAGCUAGAGUAUGGGAGAGGAUGGUAGAAUUCCAGGUGUAGCGGUGAAAUGCGUAGAGAUCUGGAGGAAUACCGAUGGGCGAAGGCAGCCAUCUGGCCUAAUCUGACGCUGAGGUCGAAAGCAUGGGGAGCAAACAGGGAUUAGAUACC